rnacentral:lncRNA from 1 species
GAAAAUACUUCUUUCUGUUAGAGAGAGCAAGAGUAAGUUGAAGUAAAAUCUCAAAUACGAGAGUUUGAGGGUUUGAGACAAAAGCUUAGUUAGAAGCUUUUGGUGUGAGAAAAUUAGAUAGAAAUUUUCUCGGGGUAUAACGGGUUGUGAGUUGAGUGUUGUGAGUGUUGUAAACACUGUAUUUUUUUUCUCCCUUUGUUAAAUAGAAGUGCAGCAAGAGGUGUGAGGCAAGAGAGAGUUUAGAAGAAUUUUUUUUUAAAUUUCUUACUUGCAAGAGCUCAAGUGAGCUCCCUUCGCCGGGCUGUUUCUUCGCCGACCGGCCACUAGGCUCUGAACCGAGAACGUGUACUCGUUCCUCCAUCUUCAGGCUACCAAACCCAACAAUCGAAAUGCCGAAGCCUUCUCUAUAUUUUCCUGACCAAAGGCCGCAAUAUCCUUCGGCGGCCAACGUCGAAUUCCCGACUUAGCCACCGGCCAACUUACGGCCUUCGUUUCUCACUAUCCUUACGACGAAAAAGGAUCGAGAAACCACCGUUGUGUAGCCUGAUCUACCUCGCACGAGGAAAACUAAGUAGUAGACCUUCGCGGCUAAACACCAUCGCGGAACGACGACCGGAAAACCCCCGACGGACAACUUCCAUUAGUGCUCACUUGGACAAGGGUAAGUUGACGCCCUUAUUUCGAUGCAUUCCCGUUUCUAUUAUAUUAUGGGAAAUUUCUGGGGUAUAGAUGGGAGUGUGGUGAAUAUUUGUUCAAAGUUUCAUGUUAUUUGAACUUCGUUUACUACCCUUUUAAAAUUUGAGAAGUCUACUGCCAGUAUCUGCUGAAACUGUCGUGAGGCAGAUGAUUAGGGUAAUUAUUUCAGUAACCAUAUGUUGAUAUUUAGCUCUAAAAUUUUUAUUGUAUGAAGAUAUAUGUGUUAGCUAUCUACAUAUAAAAUUUGAGCUCAUUCAGGUAACGUUUUCUAUUUUUUCAAAAAUCUGGACUUUCAGUUGGCAGAAACUGCCGAAUCUGGUAGGCGAUGGGAAAAUCGCUAUAUCUCUUAAACUACUUGGAGUUUUUCAACAUACUUUUUUUCAAUUAAACUAGACUCAAAGAGGUUUCUAUUGAUAUAAAAUUCGACUCCAUACGAGUUCGGAGUAAAAGCAGUUUAUUAGUUGAAGUUGAAUCUAUACAGUUUUGUUGAGAUGGAAAUGAUUCAAAAUAAUUCCUAUUAAGAAUUUUAAAGUUUUAUUGUCGAUAAAAUAUCACUUUUAGAUUAUAAAUGAGCUAUUGAUGUGUAUAUAUAUAUAUUGGUGAUUGGCAUUAUUAAAUGGGGAAAAGGAAAACGUUUUAUGUUUAUAGAAUUAUUCUUUAUUUAUAAUAGAUAAAUAAAUGAAUAAUAUAAAAUGGAAUUUCCUACAUCCUCAAAGGUACAUGAAAUAUUUUGAUAAAGGAAGAACGAUUGUAUAUGAGUUAGAUAUAGUCGUUUAAGGAAAUAUGGGUAGUUAGAGAAAUGAGUGAAUAGUGAUUCACUGCAUUUGUUGUUAUCUUUUCUAUUUUUCACUCGAACACAUGUUUUCGUGUUAUCAAAGGUUCAAAUAAACAAAAGCGUCUGAGUAACCUAUCGCGCUAAGGAAAGAGAAUCGUUGUCUUAAGUAGCAAAACACUGCAAUCAGGUGGGCAUUACUUUCAUAUAUAUCAAAUGAGUUUAAAUGUUACGUUCAAGCAAGUUAUUUCAUGAUAAAAUCUUUGAGUUAAAGUUAUUUCAAGUAUUGUCUUGCCAUAAAAUGUUUCAAUUUUAGUAUGAUAUCUAUCUGCUUUGGCUUUGCCAAUGAUGCAAUCGAAUUCGGGUCCUGAGCAGUUGAUAGCUAUCCUGCCAGGACUAGUGUACACCAGUGACCGUGAGUCAUCUAGCGGGUUGGCCGGUCAAGUGACCGUGAGAGGUGGCCACCUCUCCGGCACACAGUUCCAGAUAUGAUAGAUUACAAGAGAACUUAGUCUGCAGACGAACUUUAAGAAUCACAAAUGAAUUUAGUAAGUUGGGCCUUUUUAGCGAAAAACUCCCUUGCUGUACUGUUUAUGAUGGCAUGACAAUUUACAGUUUUGAAGCAUGUAUUUUUAUACCUAGGCAUACGUGCCCACUGAGUGCUUUUGUACUCAGCCCUGCAUAUGUUUUCUAAAUGUGCAGGUUGAGCUGAUGUGAUGAUGGUGCUGCAAUGAGCGGAGUCUCCAGGGUUGUUAAUAAAUAGUUAACCUGUCUAGAAUAUGUCUUCAUACAUAUGUCUAGCUACUUUCCGCUGCAAGAUGUUGUUGAUGUUAUAGUAUGUUAUGUCAUACUUUGAGUCUUAAGAGAAUGGUUUCAUAUGAUGU